GGGAGGAAGAGGAGGAGCCCCGCCGCCCCCCGCCCGCCGCAGGAAGCCGCCGGAGGAUGUACGGUAGUGCCGGGGGCCUGGCCGGCACGCCGUGACAGCCCGCCCCAGCACCCCGCUCGCCUCGCCACGGCCGGCCGAACCCCUUCCUGCGGAGGAAACAUGUCCAAGAUGCCGGCCAAGAAGAAGAGCUGCUUCCAGAUCACCAGCGUGACCACGGCGCAGGUGGCCAGCAGCAUCACCGAGGACACCGAGAGCCUGGAUGACCCGGAUGAGUCCCGCACCGAGGACGUGUCUUCUGAAAUCUUUGAUGUUUCCCGAGCCACCGACUACGGCCCCGAGGACGUCUGCGAGCGGAGCUCUUCCGAAGAGACUCUCAACAACGUGGGCGAGGCCGAAACUCCCAGCAGCGUCUCUCCCAAUCUCCUUUUGGACGGACAGCUGGCUGUGGCUGCUGCUGGGGUGGCUGCAGGCCCCAACGGGGGGGCUGUGCCCAAAAGUUCGGCUGUGUCCCUGCCAGCUGUUGCCCCUGGCACUGCUGUGGGGGGAAGCAGCAGUACUCAGGCGGCUCUGCCCUCCACAGGGCCUUCUGCACCCGCUGCCUCCGGGGCCAUGUCUCAGACGGCGGCUGCUGCGUGCAGCUCACGCUUCAGGGUGAUCAAGCUGGACCACGGUACUGGGGAGCCCUACAGGCGAGGCCGAUGGACGUGUAUGGAGUACUAUGACCGGGACUCAGAUGGUGGUGGUGUUCUGAGCAGGACUGGAGAUUGCAUUAGGCACAGCAGCACCUUCGAACAGGCUGCUCAAGAGAGGGACAGUGGCCUCGGUGCCACAGGAGGUUCUGUUGUGAUCUCGGCUGUGCCAGCGUCAACCCAUGGCCCCGAUUCUAUAGCUGACAGCUCCCUGGCUGCUGUGUCACAGCUGCUUCAGACAGAGAAAAUGAACCAGUCCUCUCUACAGCAACCUAAUUUUGUCAUUGGGCAACAGCAGCAGCCGCAGCAGCCCGUAGGUGGGGCCGUGCCUCAGAGUACUGCUCAGCCUGUGUUUUCUGGGGCUUCGGGAGCAAAUCAGCAAAUGAUAGUGCCGCAGCAGCCCCAGCCACAGGUAAAUCCACAGGGUGUUUCACAGGCUGGACCCAACGGGAAAGGCAUGGCACCUCCCAGUGUGACAGUAGGGCAGUCAAGCAUUCCUGUGGCCCAGCAGCAGGUGCAGCAGGCAAAUGUACCAGUGACUCAGCCUCAACAAUUUGCUUAUUCUCAGUCCCAGAUUCCACCAGUGCAUCUACUGCCGACGCAGCCUCCUGGGCAGGCUGAAUACAUGCAGCACAUGACAAUGAUGCAGUCUCAAGGAGCUAUUCAGCAGGCUACUACAAGCUCUGCUCCGAGUACUGUGGCCUCCAGCCUUCCUGUGGGGCAGGUGACGGGCCAGAACCCCUCACCUGUGGGAGCUCCAGUGAUGGGGGUGUCAUCACAGCCCAGCGAAGCAGUCGGACAGGGAUCGGGGUUGAUGCAGAGUGGCCAGGCACAAGCCAGUCAACCUGGCAUCCCACAGCCGGGAGGUGUGGUGCAGCCAGGCCUUGGACAUACGGGGGUUGUGCAACAGAAAUCUGUGACUCAGCAUCCAAUGGGGGGAAGCAGUCAAGUGUCAGGAAUGCCUGGUGCUCCCCAUGCUGUGGUCCCUGGAGUUCAGAGCGUGCCUGCGGUUGUGCCCGGUACAAGCGUGCCUGGUGUGUCCACCACCGCUUCUGUUACUAUGCCAAACGUCCCUGUUACGCUGGUCCAGUCCCAGCUGACGAGCCACCCUUCUGUCAGCAGAAGUGCUGGUGUGGUCCAGUCCCAGCACGUCGGACACUCGAUGAUGCAAGGUGUGCCCAACGCACCCGCCAGUCUGCCUCAGGCAAACCUCGGACAGUUUCAGACCCAGGCCCAGUCCUUAGUAGGCCAGAUCGAUGAUACUAGAAGAAAAUCGGAACCCCUACCUCAGCCACCACUUUCUCUUAUAGCUGAAAAUAAACCUCUUGUGAAGCCUCCCAUUCCAGACACUCUAGCAAAUCCUCUUCAGUUACCUGCAAGUACUCCAAUGAACAGUCUUGCUAGCUCUGUUUUUGGCAUAUCCAUUCCUGUUGAUGGUGAUGAAGACAGGAAUCCGUCAACUGCAUUCUACCAAGCGUUCCAUUUCAACAAGUUACACGAGUCAAAGACCACCUGGGAUAGGAUUUGCAAGUUGAGGCAUUGGCUCUACAGUGGAUGGUGUAUUCACAGAAUGUGUCACUCUCACUUCAUUUGUUCAUCCAAAAAGACUUUAUUUAGGAGAUAUUUGGGGUUUCUUCCUGGCCUUUUCAUAAGGACUGGACUGUAUUUAUAAAUGUCAUUCUGCAGCCAUGGGAUAAAAUAUUUUUAUGCAAACUGGAAUUUGAUGUCAAGAGUUUAGGAUUUGAGAAAAGUAUAAAAUUUUAAGAUUUGGCAGCACAUUUGGAGUUCCCCAUGAGAGUAGCUGUCACUGGAGGGCUCUGCUCAUGAAUGUCCCACAGGAGCUGCUGUUGGGAGCACUGUCAGAUUAAUAAAGAACAAAAGCAUGUGGGAAUUCUAUAGCAUCUAAUUCUCAUCUUCCUUUAGAAAGUGAUAUGAAGUACAGUCAGCUGAUUUUAUCCCGAUGACAAACUGGGGCACCCUGUGUCGGUGUGGAGCUCCUGGUGGGUGUGUGGGGGUCUGUGUGGUCCCAGCCUCUGCCUGCUGAAGCUGGGCUGCGUACAGGGAUCCAGGCUCUGCGUUUCAGUCUUGCUCUGCACAUGGGGGCAGCAAGAGCCUUACAAAGGAGUGUAUAAAGCUGCUUAGAGCUUUCAGCACUGUCGGUGUCGUGCCGAGUGUGGGGUCUGUGUGGUAAGGCAGUGCUUUUCCCGGCUCAUUCCAAUCCCUCUGCAGGGAGGGACGAUUCCUACACCCACCCAACAGGCAGAGGGGAGCUCACAGCAAAAGGUGUGCACAGGGAGGGUGCCUCUGCAGCUCUUUGGGAGGCUAAGGGAAGGCUGCCUGUCUUUCUUAUGGAACUGCUGGAAUGCCUUUACUUGGAGUGAUAUAGCAGAGUUUAUUUUUUAAAAUAAUCACACUACAGAAUAGCUGAAACAGGGAUAGAGCAAAGUUCCAAUCUCAAGUUUGACUAGACAGGUAUUGACAAAAGUUUUACGAUUGUGCUGCAAAGAUGGGGAAGUAGAUCCCCCUGCUAUGGUUGGUGUUUGCUUUAAUUGUUUUAUUUAAUUCUCUUGCUGUUACCUCUUAGAGCUGCCUCAUCUGACCUGUAGGGUGGUGUCUGUAAAGGACUGUGAGAGGACAGGGAGUCUUGGGGAUUUUGUGGUUCAUGGACACAGAUACUUCUGACAGUGCCAGAUGACUCUGAUGCAUGUUAAUUCAACAUGGAAAGGAAUACUUCCCUUGGCAUGAGUUAUAAAGAGCUUUUAUUCUGAGGAGGUUUACCAUAGAUAGGGUUUGAAAGAGGCUUAGAAGACAAUAAGAGACUAGAACAGUUUUCUUCUGAAAUGUGUGUUCAGGGCUUUUGGUUUGGGUUUCAAGAUUGGUUCAGUAGAAAUAGAGGCUGUUAUUCCCUCAGUCUGCAAACCUGAUGCCCUCUGCUUGUAUAAGCCCAGUGCUGGUGCUGACAGUUCUGUGGGAGCCCUUAAAAUUAACUUCUCUGACCAGUAUCACUCUUCAGGAGCUGAGCCAUGUUUCACAUCUGUGACUAGUACUACUGACCACAUUGCCAUACUCUUUGUAAAAAGCCUUGAGUGGUUUUUUUAUUAACACUUGUGUUUGGUGAGUUGCACAAUUCCAGAGAGCUGGCAGGAGGAUCCGGGGAGGAUUCACUGGGAGCCAGGAAGUGGCCGCAGGCUCAGGGCUCUGGCUGUGUCUCACCCUCCUGCUGGCUGCUGCCACAGGCUGCCACAGGAGCUCCUUGCCUGGAAGGUGGACUCAAGUGAAUCCAGAGAACAAGUAUUAUAACAGGAUUUUUUCUUCAUUGCUUUAUAAAAACAGUUUGGAAGAAAUAAUGCUCAUGUGCGUCUGGUGCAAGUGUUGUUGCUAUUGACAACAAAAUAGAGCAGGCAAUGGAUCUAGUGAAAAGCCAUUUGAUGUAUGCAGUGAGGGAAG